AUUGAACGCUGGCGGCAAGCCUAACACAUGCAAGUCGAACGAGUGGCGGACGGGUGAGUAAUGUCUGGGAAACUGCCUGAUGGAGGGGGAUAACUACUGGAAACGGUAGCUAAUACCGAAUACCAACGGAUGUGCCAAUAUGGGAUUAGCUAGUAGGUGGGGUAAAGGCUCACCUAGGCGACGAUCCCUAGCUGGUCUGAGAGGAUGCACAGCCACACUGGAAGUGAGGCACGGUCCAGACUCCUGAGGGGGGCAGCAGUGAGGAAUAUUGCACAAUGGGCACGAGGCUAAUGCAGCCAUGCCGCGUGUAUGAAGAAGGCCUUCGGGUUGUAAAGUACUUUCAGCGGGGGGGCGUUACCCGCAGAAGAAGCACCGGCUAACUCCGUGCCAGCAGCCGCGGUAAUAC
rnacentral:rRNA from 1 species